ACGCACGCUGGCGGCGUGCCUAAUACAUGCAAGUAGAACGCACAGUUUAUACCGUAGCUUGCUACACCAUAGACUGUGAGUUGCGAACGGGUGAGUAACGCGUAGGUAACCUGCCUGGUAGCGGGGGAUAACUAUUGGAAACGAUAGCUAAUACCGCAUAAUAUUGAUUAUUGCAUGAUAAUUGAUUGAAAGAUGCUAUUGCAUCACUACCAGAUGGACCUGCGUUGUAUUAGCUAGUAGGUGAGGUAACGGCUCACCUAGGCGACGAUACAUAGCCGACCUGAGAGGGUGAUCGGCCACACUGGGACUGAGACACGGCCCAGACUCCUACGGGAGGCAGCAGUAGGGAAUCUUCGGCAAUGGACGAAAGUCUGACCGAGCAACGCCGCGUGAGUGAAGAAGGUUUUCGGAUCGUAAAGCUCUGUUGUAAGAGAAGAACGGGUGUGAGAGUGGAAAGUUCACACUGUGACGGUAUCUUACCAGAAAGGGGCGGCUAACUACGUG
rnacentral:rRNA from 1 species